rnacentral:rRNA from 1 species
CGCAAUGGACGAAAGUCUGACGGAGCAACGCCGCGUGAGGGAUGAAGGUUUUCGGAUCGUAAAGCUCUGUUGUUAGGGAAGAACAAGUGCGAGAGUAACUGCUCGCACCUUGACGGUACCUAACCAGAAAGCCACGGCUAACUACGUGCCAGCAG